rnacentral:rRNA from 1 species
UAUCGUAAUUGAAGAGGUUUGGAAAGACCCACCACAGAAGGUAAUAGUCCUGUAUGUUAAACGAGAAGACUUUAGAUAUGAUCCAGAGUACCACGGGACACGUGAAACCCUGUGGGAAGCAGGAGGGACCACCCUCCAAGGCUAAAUACUACCUAGUGACCGAUAGCGUAUAGUACCGUGAGGGAAAGGUGAAAAGAACCCCGGGAGGGGAGUGAAAUAGAACCUGAAACCCUGCACUUACAAGCUGUGGAAGCACAUUUCUUGUGUGACCGCGUACUUUUUGUAGAACGGGCCAACGAGUUACGUUAAGUAGCAAGGUUAAGCACUUAAGGUG